rnacentral:rRNA from 1 species
UGCUCCAUCACACCGCAUGGUGUGUUGGGAAAGCCUUUGCGGCAUGGGAUGGGGUCGCGUCCUAUCAGCUUGAUGGCGGGGUAACGGCCCACCAUGGCUUCGACGGGUAGCCGGCCUGAGAGGGCGACCGGCCACAUUGGGACUGAGAUACGGCCCAGACUCCUACGGGAGGCAGCAGUGGGGAAUAUUGCACAAUGGGCGCAAGCCUGAUGCAGCGACGCCGCGUGAGGGAUGGAGGCCUUCGGGUUGUAAACCUCUUUUGUUAGGGAGCAAGGCAUUUUUGUGUUGAGUGUACCUUUCGAAUAAGCACCGGCUAACUACGUGCCAGCAGCCGCGGUAAUACGUAGGGCGCAAGCGUUAUCCGGAAUUAUUGGGCGUAAAGGGCUCGUAGGCGGUUCGUCGCGUCUGCUGUGAAAUCCCGAGGCUCAACCUCGGGCUUGCAGUGGGUACGGGCAGACUAGAGUGCGGUAGGGGGGAUUGGAAUUCCUGGUGUAGCGGUGGAAUGCGCAGAUAUCGGGAAGAACACCAAUGGCGAAGGCAGGUCUCUGGGCCGUUACUGACGCUGAGGAGCGAAAGCGUGGGGAGCGAACAGGAUUCGAUACCCUGGUAGUCCACGCCGUAAACGGUGGAUGCUGGAUGUGGGGCCCGUUCCACGGGUUCCGUGUCGGAGCUAACGCGUUAAGCAUCCCGCCUGGGGAGUACGGCCGCAAGGCUAAAACUCAAAGAAAUUGACGGGGGCCCGCACAAGCGGCGAAGCAUGCGGAUUAAUUCGAUGCAACGCGAAGAACCUUACCUGGGCUUGACAUGUUCCCGACGGCCGUAGAGAUAUGGCCUCCCUUCGGGGCGGGUUCACAGGUGGUGCAUGGUCGUCGUCAGCUCGUGUCGUGAGAUGUUGGGUUAAGUCCCGCAACGAGCGCAACCCUCGCCCUGUGUUGCCAGCACGUCGUGGUGGGAACUCACGGGGGACCGCCGGGGUCAACUCGGAGGAAGGUGGGGAUGACGUCAGAUCAUCAUGCCCCUUACGUCCAGGGCUUCACGCAUGCUACAAUGGCCGGUACAGCGGGAUGCGACAUGGCGACAUGGAGCGGAUCCCUGAAAACCGGUCUCAGUUCGGAUUGGAGUCUGCAACCCGACUCCAUGAAGGCGGAGUCGCUAGUAAUCGCGGAUCAGCAACGC